rnacentral:rRNA from 1 species
GAUGAACGCUGGCGGCGUGCUUAACACAUGCAAGUCGAACGGAAAGACCCAAGCUUGCUUGGGUACUCGAGUGGCGAACGGGUGAGUAACACGUGGGUGAUCUGCCCUGCACUUCGGGAUAAGCCUGGGAAACUGGGUCUAAUACCGGAUAGGACCACAUUUUGGAUGGUGUGGUGGAAAGUUUUUCGGUGUGGGAUGAGCUCGCGGCCUAUCAGCUUGUUGGUGGGGUAAUGGCCUACCAAGGCGUCGACGGGUAGCCGGCCUGAGAGGGUGUACGGCCACAUUGGGACUGAGAUACGGCCCAGACUCCUACGGGAGGCAGCAGUGGGGAAUAUUGCACAAUGGGCGCAAGCCUGAUGCAGCGACGCCGCGUGGGGGAUGACGGCCUUCGGGUUGUAAACUCCUUUCGCUAGGGACGAAGCGUUAUGUGACGGUACCUGGAGAAGAAGCACCGGCUAACUACGUG